AAUAUAUAAAAAUGUUUCUAAAGUCUAUGUUAGUAAUUUUUAAAGAUGGAGAUAUCAUGAUUGAUUCAGGUAAGCAAAAUGAAUAAAUGGAAUCGAUAAAGAUUUUUCAUUUAUGUGUACUAUUAAAAACAUGUACACACAUACAUACAUACAUAUAUAUAUAUAUAUAUAUAUACAACAUCGUAUACAAACUGAGCAUCAUAUAUUUUUCACAUUUUAAAUUUUGUAUAUCGUAUUUUUAUUUUAUUUUGUUUUAUUUUUUUUUUUUGUGCCUUUACUAUUAGAUAUAAUGGAUUUUUUAGGAGAAGAUACAAAAAUCGAGAGAAACCUCGAGUACUUGUUAAACCUUAUAUUAAAUCAAAUUACAGGCUUGAACUUGCUAGACACACAUAAAAGUGAACAAAUAAAAAUUAAUCGUAUAAUUCAUCGUCUUUCACACUAUUUAAUUUAUUGUAUGGACACAGGAUUUAUGUCACACAAGUUUAACAUAACCGAUUUGGUCAAGUGCAGUAUGAAAAUUAGCAAGGAUAAGCAAAUGGUUAAAAAAAAAAAAAAAAAAAAAAAAAAAUAUAUAUAUGUGUACAUAUAUGUACAUGCAUAACAGUUAUUAUAUUAUUUGCUUCUUAUUUUAUUGCCACGAUUACUUUUUUUUUUUUUUUUUUUUUUUAACGCACUGUGUACCGACAUAUAUGUAUGUCCUUUUUCGCAGGAUAUCGAAAACAUUCUAAACUUUUUCUUACAUUUAAGGGAAAGGGAUUACAGUCAGAACUAUAACACAGAAUGCUUAAGUUUGUUAAAAAUAAAAGACAAUUUAGAUAUAGAGUUUUUUAACUU
rnacentral:lncRNA from 1 species